rnacentral:rRNA from 1 species
UACCAGCACCCCGAGUGGUCGGGACGAUUAUUGGGCCUAAAGCAUCCGUAGCCGGUCCUACAAGUCUUCCGUUAAAUCCACCUGCUUAACAGAUGGGCUGCGGAAGAUACUAUAGGGCUAGGAGGCGGGAGAGGCAAGCGGUACUCAAUGGGUAGGGGUAAAAUCCUCUGAUCCAUUGAAGACCACCAGUGGCGAAGGCGGCUUGCCAGAACGCGCUCGACGGUGAGGGAUGAAAGCUGGGGGAGCAAACCGG